GUCUGCGGCCGAUUAGGUAGUUGGUUAGGUAAUGGCUUACCAAGCCGUUGAUCGGUACGGGUUGUGAGAGCAAGAGCCCGGAGAUGGAACCUGAGACAAGGUUCCAGGCCCUACGGGGUGCAGCAGGCGCGAAACCUCCGCAGUGUGAGAAAUCGCGACGGGGGGAUCCCAAGUGCCAUUCUUAACGGGAUGGCUUUUCAUUAGUGUAAAGAGCUUUUGGAAUAAGGGCUGGGCAAGACCGGUGCCAGCCGCCGCGGUAACACCGGCAGCUCUAGUGGUAGCAGUUUUUAUUGGGCCUAAAGCGUCCGUAGCCGGUUUAAUAAGUCUCUGGUGAAAUCCUGUAGCUUAACUGUGGGAAUUGCUGGAGAUACUAUUAGACUUGAGACCGGGAGAGGUUAGAGGUACUCCCAGGGUAGAGGUGAAAUUCUGUAAUCCUGGGAGGACCGCCUGUUGCGAAGGCGUCUAACUGGAACGGUUCUGACGGUGAGGGACGAAAGUUAGGGGCGCGAACCGGAUUAGAUACCCGGGUAGUCCUAACUGUAAACGAUGCGGACUUGGUGUUGGGGUGGCUUUGAGCUGCUCCAGUGCCGAAGGGAAGCUGUUAAGUCCGCCGCCUGGGAAG
rnacentral:rRNA from 1 species